AUGGGUCUAGACUUCGCUGGCAUCACAAUCACAUGGAGGCAAAGUGCAGAUUGCCAGGUGCAGCCCCGGCUUCUGUUAUUCAGCAGGGAACUCAUCCAUUCUGAGGGAUCAAACUCGGGACCUUGUGCUUGCGAGACAGGCACUGGAACCACUGAGCUAAAUCCCCAGCCCAUUGGCAUCUCUGUUAUCAGGAUACCACCCAACAAAGUGAUCACUGUCCAGGAUUUGAGGAAGAUGAAUAUAGUGUCAAAGGUCAUGGUUACACAGAAUUCACCAAGCACAAUGUGGACAGAAUGCUUAGCAAUACAGUGUGAUAUACUAUAUAACCCUGAGAAAUUCCUGUGAGUCUUCAUGGUGGAAGGCACAGUGAGGCCUCUGUUGGAGAUACACAUGUGGUGAAGGAGUCUUAGUUCACAGGAGUCAAGAGUCUACAGAGUUCACACAUGGCCACCGCACCCGACACAGCAGUUGUAAACCAAGGCUAUAGGACAAACUUGCCUGCCUUGUCCACUGCUGUGCAUUUGACCUUGGAAUAAAAUGAGCUAAAUCCCCGGCCCAAAUCAUUCCUUUUUAAUACCUUCAGCUUGAGUCAGGAGAAAUACUGAUAAAAAUGAAGGAGUCGGAAAGGCCAUUGUAUAAGACGUCACCUCAAGUGAAGGGGAUGGAGGAGAUCACAGAGGUAUCCUAUGCGUCAGCAGCUGAGAAGAGGGAGACAAUGCACUCAGAGGCAGUGAUGCUACCUCAGCCUCAAGUUACUACCCCAUCAUCGGGACCCUAAAUAGGAAGGAACUACGACGACUUAAACAUGUUAAUGAGAAAUGACAGAAAACUUUCAAAGAGAUCCAAAGGAGAUGCCGAUGCUAAUGUAGUCAGAGGGGUGUUUAUUAAGAAUGACGAUGUUUGGUAUGUUUAGACACAUAAAUGAUCAGAGAGAAAUAUAGCCAAAAUAAAAAUUAAAUCACCAUCUCAAUAGGUACAGCCAAAGCCUCCUGUCUCCUGCUCAGCUGUGCACACAUCAGGAUGUCUGGUAUUACUCUUCUCAUAGGAUACGGAAAAUAUAUUGACUUCUACUUUGUUCAAAUGACUAUGUAUGAUCUGAUAUUUUAAUUUUCUGCUUUUAAAACUGUGAAUUAGGAAUAUCUUUAUAAACAUUUAAUUAAUUAAAAGUUAAUGGUAAAGCCGGGGAUUCAGCUCAGUGGUUUUGUGGCCUGCUGCGCAAGUGCAAGGACCUGAGUCCGAUCCUCGGUACCUGCUCCCCAAAAAAGAAUAACUCAGUGGUACAACUCAACAAGUAGGUUUAUUUUCUCUAUAUAGCUUAUUGUAUCAAAUUUAUGUAUUACCUUAUAAUAGUAAAUGUUCUAAAAAGAAUACUUAAGUUAUUUAAAUUCUACUACUUCUUCCUCACCUCCCAAGAUAUAAUAGAAUAAUGUAAUCUUAUACCAACCUUCUGUGAGAAUUUUGCCUCAUUAAACACUGCACCUUAUUUUAUUAAGUUAUUUUGUUGGAAUCCAGUUCUAUAUUUUGGGAAAGUAACAGUAUUUUCUUUUUAAUUAAUAAGAAUUUACAUUUAAAAAAAUCUAAAAUCCUCAAAAUGUUUAUAUUUGCCUGUUACUUGUUGUAUCAUUAUCUGUUUAUUGAAUUUAUUCAAUACAUCAAUCUGUAAAUCUAAGUGGAAAGAAAAAUUAAGCAAUUAAAGAUGAGAAGAAGAAAAAGAAAGUGAAGUAAAUUAUUCUACUAAGGAGUGAAAGGAAGUUAAUAGAAUUGGAUAAAGAUAACAAAAAAGAACAUGAAAAAAUAAAAAAGAAGAGUAAAAAUUAAAAAACAAACUGAUAAAGAGAAAAGAAACCGGAAAAAAGAAAAAGGGGAAAACCUCAAACACCCAAACUCCAAUGGAAAAAAGAAAUGAAUGCAAAAAAUUCUUGUAUAUUUGCCUGAGUGGUUUCUUUCCAGGAUCUGCAGUUUUAGAAUCCAGCAGGCCAUAAUUGUCUCCUCCUAACUUUACAGUCUGUGGGUUUGUGAGAUGCCCCAUGCUCCAGAGGCCCCUCUGUCUAGUUGAGCCCAGGCUAUGGCAACUGUCUGAGCUGAGGUGUGUCCUUGCUCACACUGGUAGGUGGGGAAAGCAAUCAGACCUCUGAUGUGUGCUGGAUGUAGGCAGCAGGGAGAGAGUCCAGCAGCCCAUUUGACUUAGUGUCAGCACUUUCAGACCCAGCCACUUCUGAGAGCUACGUAUGCCACGUCUGGCUUCUCACCAUGGAGGGUAAGGCCCUGUGUCCAUCCCCACCUGAGCUUAAACAACUCAAGGGCUCUAUGUCUAACCUGCUCCUUGUCCAUGACUAUCUCCCAUAACUCUCUUACCCAGUCACUGUGAGAGUGUAACACUGGGAACCCUGAAGUGAAAUUGGUUUGUAGUUUUUCUGUGGCUCAGUCUCAAGUAAUCAACCCCUUCUUGAAAUGAUCCCUGAUUGAACACUCUCUGGCAACAUGCUGGGUGGUAGAUUUCUUCUCAAAUUCCAGCCUGCAAUGCCAAAGGAAUAAUUUUCAGAGUAAAAGCCUACACUGUUGUUAUUACGGUUUACAAUAGCUGAGGCCAUUACUCUGGACUAGCACUGCUGGCCAAGCCCACUCUUUCUCUGUGGACCUCCCAACCUUGGGAGCUUACCUUGUGUCUGUAGAGAUAGGUUCCUCUCCCCAGGAGCCAGAGUGAGCUCUCCCGUUUGCUUCAUUCUUUCCUCUGCAUUGUGCUCCAUUAGUCCAGCUUCUCUGCAGUUUCUAAUGUUCAGUUUCUUUCCAAUUCCUGGAGAUCUAACGCUUUUCUUUUUCUCUUUUCCAAGUUGUUAUUUUCUGUGUGUCUGGAUUCAAGGUCCCAGAGAGUCUGUAUUUUGCUGCUGAUCAUUACUCUGUCAUUUUGAUCUCAAGUAUUAUUUUGUGUUACCCAUAAUUCUUUCCGCAUCAACUGGUAUCUGGUUUCUUAUUUAUACUAAAAUCCGUUUGUCAGUGGGUCAUAAAUCACUGUCAUUUUGGUCUGUGACUCAGAGGAAUUCAGAGAAUGGAUGAUAGUGUAACCUUGUGACUCGUUCCUUUACAUCUACUCAUUCAUGUGGUUUUUAUUUUUUUUAAUUUUUUGGUACUGAGGAUUGAACUCAGGACCUUGCGUUUUCGAGGCAGGCAGCGGAACCACUGAGCUAAAUCCUGGCCCAUCUACUCAUUCAUG
rnacentral:lncRNA from 1 species